CGUAGAGGUUUUUGCGAGGUCCGCUGCCAAGAAAGAGCGUCUGGAACUUGGCCAGAGGGAGCGGUCCGGGCUGUGGAGAAAUCUGCUUGUAGGUUCAGCCAGGAGCUAGCUUAUCUCCCCCUCGGCAGCAAGGAUGCUCCUGGGAUUUCGGAGGGGCCACAAGGAUCAGUUCAAACACAUCGUCCAUGGCCUUCUCCCUGCAGCUAGCAUCGCCCCAAAGCCGGCUGUGCCCCGCACACCUCCUCCCCGCAGUCCCAAUGUGUCUCCGGAGAGACCAAGGUCUGCUCUGGCUGCAGCCAUCCUGGCCACAACAUUGACCGGACAGACAGUCGCCAUUCCUC